UACGUAGGGGGCAAGCGUUGUCCGGAAUCAUUGGGCGUAAAGAGCGUGUAGGCGGCUCGAUAAGUCCGCUCUGAAAGCCCGGGGCUCAACCCCGGGAGGCGGGCGGAUACUGUCGAGCUAGAGUCCGGAAGAGGCGAGUGGAAUUCCUGGUGUAGCGGUGAAAUGCGCAGAUAUCAGGAGGAACACCGAUGGCGAAGGCAGGUCUCUGGGCCACUACUGACGCUGAGAAGCGAAAGCGUGGGGAGCGAACAGG
rnacentral:rRNA from 1 species